rnacentral:lncRNA from 1 species
UUCCAUAACACAUAGCCAAAAUACCUAUUCCAAGUUUCAAGAUGUCUAUUAUGUAUAAUUUGGUAACAUUUCGUUUUAAAGCUUUGUAGCGCACAAUAACGGAAUAAACUAUGAAAAAAACUGUGUCACAAGCUCUUCUGAAAAUCCUAAUAGAACAACGAUUCACAAUUUUGAUUUAGUAGCCUACAUUGUAAUUGCUAAACAUUGUGUAACUAUUCGUUUAGAGUUCACAUCGACCCGUGUUAAAGAUUAUUAAUGAAUGGGCAGGAAAAGGCCACGGAUCAUUUUUUGUUUGUUCACUCAUCAUCUGAAUUCAAUUAAAUAUGACAAAGUGAGUUUAAUAACGAUAUGAAUUAGGCAAUGAUAUAUCCACCACAUUGCAGUUAACCAUAAAACCCCUGUAGGUGCGUAAUUACGCACAAGGCACUCAUCGACACUCUCCCACUAAAUGACAAUAGGCCUACAAAUAAUAUGCAUAAUCCGUCUGCAAAUGUUAGUGCAAACAGCAAACUGCCAGGCUAGAAUAUAAACGCAACAUGUAAAGUGUUGGUCACAUGUUUCAUGAGCUGAAAUGAAACAUCCCAGACAUUUUCCAUAUACACAAAAAGCUUAUUUCUUUAAAAUGUUGUGCACAAAUUUGUUUACAUUCCUGUUAGUGAGCAUUUCUCCUUUGCCAAGAUAAUCCAUUCACCUGGCAGGUGUGGCAUAUCAAGAAGCUGAUUAAGCAGCAUGAUCAUUACACAGGUACACCUUGUGUUGGGAACAAUAAAAGGCCACUCCAAAAUGUGCAGUUCUGUCACACAGCACAAUGCCACAGAUGUCUCAAGUUUUGAGGGAGCGUGCAAUUGGCAUGCUGACUGCAGCAAUGUCCACCAGAGCUGUUGCCAGAUAAUUUAAUGUUAAUUUCUCUACCAUAAAUCACCUCCAACGUAAUUUUAGAGAAUUUAGCGGUACCUCCAAUUGCCUCACAACCGCAGACCACGUGUAACCACGCCAGCCCAGGACCUCCACAUCACACCAGUUCUUCCAUGGCCUGCGUACUCACCAGACAUGUCACCCACUGAGUAUGGUUGUUAUGUUUUGGAUCGACGUGUACGACAGCGUGUUCCAGUUCCCGCCAAUAUCCAGAAAUUUAGCACAGCCAUUGAAGAGGAGAGGGACAAAAUUCCACAGGCCACAAUCAACAGCCUGAUCAACCAUAUGCAAAGAAAAUGUGUCCUUCCCAGUCAUGUGAAAUCCAUGGAUUAGGAUUUCUAUGGAAAUGUGUUUUAAAUUGUCUGACGUCCUUAUAUGAACUGUUAAAUCUUGAAAUUGUUGAAUGUUGCAUUUAUAUUCUUGUUCAGUGUAGCUGGAGAAGACUGUAUUAACUUUUUCAAUGCUAGUUAAGGAUAUCCUAGGUCUAGUUAUCACGUUUCACGUUGGAUUUAUUAACUACCAAAAGGUGUCGCUUAUUUUCCCCAGUGUAUUUAUCCCUGUGUUUCCUGUCUCUCUGUGCCAGUUUGUACUGUAUGUUUCCAAGUCAACCAGCGUUUUUCCGUUCUUCUGCUUUUUGCAUUCUUUUUCUAGUCCUCCCGGUUUUGACCCUUGCCUGUUUCUGGACUUUGUACCCGCCUGCCUGACCAUUCUGCCUGCCUUGACCUCGAGUCUGACUGCCACUCUGUACCUCCUGGACUCCGAUCUGGUUUUGACAUUUUUGCCUGUCCAUGACCAUUCUCU